GACAACUAAUCCAUGACAUAUGACAUCCAUGAGAUAGUGAUGGGGAGGUUGCAAUGCAGUAUGAAGGGAGGAUGGAGGUCAGAGGUCAUGAGUUAGACUGACUGUGUGUCUGCUGUGGUGAUGUGUGGUGUCAUGAUUACCUGUAGGUAAGGCGGUGUAAGUAGGUGAAGUGGGUUGCAUGGUGGUGGGUGAGUCAGAAGAACCUAUUUGACAUGAUCACAUAGUUUAAACUAGAUUCAAAUACAGUCCUUAUAUGAAUAAAGUUGGCACCAAUUUUCCGCCAGAUAAAUAAAACAAAUGCAGUACAAACCACAACAAGCUAAUGAGUACAGGAAUGAAUACAUUGCCUAUUUUUAAAAAUUGCAAUUUCCUUUACUGGUCCAGUGUACAAUAAAAUUAUUAAAAACAGGAAAUU